rnacentral:rRNA from 1 species
GACGAACGCUGGCGGCGUGCUUAACACAUGCAAGUCGAGCGGUAAGGCCCUUUCGGGGGUACACGAGCGGCGAACGGGUGAGUAACACGUGGGUGACCUGCCCUCAGCUCUGGGAUAAGCCUGGGAAACUGGGUCUAAUACCGGAUAUGACUCCAUGACGCAUGUUGUGGGGUGGAAAGCCUUGUGCGGCUGAGGAUGGGCCCGCGGCCUAUCAGCUUGUUGGUGGGGUGANGGCCUACCAAGGCGACGACGGGUAGCCGGCCUGAGAGGGCGACCGGCCACACUGGGACUGAGACACGGCCCAGACUCCUACGGGAGGCAGCAGUGGGGAAUCUUGCGCAAUGGGCGAAAGCCUGACGCAGCGACGCCGCGUGAGGGAUGGCGGCCU